GACGAACGCUGGCGGCGUGCAUAACACAUGCAAGUCACGGGGGCCAGUAGCAAUACUGGCAACCGGCGAACGGGUGCGUAACACGUAAGCGACCUACCUCGAUGUGGGGCAUAGCCGGCCUAACGGCCGGGUAAUUCCGCAUGUGAUCCUUGAGGGGCAUAUCUCGGGGAUGAAACCAGUAAUGGGCAUUGAGAGGGGCUUGCGGCCUAUCAGCUUGUUGGCGAGGUAACGGCUCACCAAGGCGACGACGGGUAGCUGGUCUGAGAGGAUGGCCAGCCACAUUGGGACUGAGAAACGGCCCAGACUCCUACGGGAGGCAGCAGUGGGGAAUCUUGCGCAAUGGCCUAACGGCUGACGCAGCGACGCCGCGUGAGGGAUGAAGCUCCUCGGAGUGUAAACCUCUGUUGCCCGGGACGAAUAGCGGAUUUUUCCGACUUGACGGUACCGGGUGAGGAAGCACCGGCUAACUUCGUGCCAGCAGCCGCGGUAAUACGAAGGGGGCUAGCGUUGCUCGGAAUCACUGGGCGUAAAGGGUGCGUAGGCGGGUCUUUAAGUCAGGGGUGAAAUCCUGGAGCUCAACUCCAGAACUGCCUUUGAUACUG
rnacentral:rRNA from 1 species